GCUAGCGAAUACUAGAAUGACAAGGAAAAGUUGUUUUACUACUUAAAUUACAACUACCACGACUAAAAGUUGAAGUUAUUCAGGACAGAGGUUCUGUAUUUUAGUAGUAUGUUAUUCUCAAGAGGGCGACGGAGGACCAGACUUUGGUGUUUUUGAUGAUUAUUCUCAGAGGUUAGCUGGAGGCGGAAUUACGAUCACCUGUAGCCUACUGCUGUUGAGGAGGAGCUGCUUGAUUCAACACCUGGAUUACAGGGGUGGGAACCUCAGCUGCAUGGGGACACAGCCAGGAAGGAAAAUCACAGACAUUUUAGCCCCUAAAAUGUCGGCAGGAAGGAGGAAAAGGGAGGAAAAGAAACAGGAGUGGACAGAGGGGGGUCCGGAGGAGGCUGAGAGAGAGAGAGAGGAGAUUCACAAUGGAGGAAGGAAGGCAAAGUGAUGUUUUUAAGCAGUCACCAAAAAUUGGAGAUGUGAAUUUAAGAGCAGAUUAUAGGAGUAAAGUGGAGUAAGAAUCUUUUCUGUUGUCUUUUUCCAGAUUGAAAUACGUUUUAGUCAAAAUUAGCUGCAUAUUAGAACAGAGCAAUCGUUCUUUGUCAGGUAUUUUGAGGUGUAUCUGUACUACUGAGGACACGUUGUGACUGUACUGGUUUCGGCUUCUCCGUUGGCCCUCUUGGAAAUAUUAAAAUCGAGUACAUUAACAUAUCAAAGGUCAGACACGGGGACAGCCAGCCUCCCAGGUGCUGUGAGAAUUUACAGCCCCAGUUGAUCUAUGGCCUGACCCAACCUCAAACCAAAUCCCAGCUGCUGAUCUGUUGGCCUCCAGAUCAGAAAGCCUGUCAACACGAGAGCCUCAUUUACAUUUAAAGUGCGCUCUCUCCUCCCGUUGUUUAGCCCAUAUUCAUCAAGUGUGACUGGUAGUGACUGCAAGCCGAAUACAGGCAUUUAUAAUGAUAUACAAAAAAAGACAGUCACCUUUAUACAGCUCAGUAGUCUACAGUGAAUACACAUUUGGUGAUUAAAAAAAAAUAAUCUAACUGUUGUUAAGCUCAAUUGUUUAUAAAGUGUCAAUUUGUCUGUGUUAGUGAAAGUUAGGAGUAGGAAAUAUAAAUAAAAUCUUCCAUGAUGGAAUGAGUAAUUUUAUAAUGUGAUAUCAAUAUACAAAUCAUAUGGAGAAACUUUAUGCAAGCAUCAUAAAAAUAGAGUUUUCAAAGGAAUUUUGUAUUAUUACAAAAAUACUCCUGUCCUGUUAUUUUAUCAAUAUAUUUCUGAAAAGCUACUCCGCUUAUUGA